UCCCUCCGCCCCCGGCCUGGCGCGCCUGCGGCGGCCUCAGCGGCACCAUCGGAGCGCGCGCUCGCGUGCAGUCAGACCCGCCCGCGCUGCCCCCGCGGACCUCCCCACGGCCGCGGCCCCCCCGCCCCGGGCUGCCCGCCCUUCUUGACUGCGCCGAGCAAAUGCAGCUGGGCCCGCUCGAGCAUCCUGUGUUUGUUGCUGGCAUCUGUGAAACGGUGAGAGGACCCAGACCCUUCACAGAUCCUGAAACUACGGUCUACCUACGAGAAUCAUGAUGCUGUUGGCCUAAUCUUCACCUCCCUAUGCUUGUCCUUCUGUGAAAAGAAGAUAAGAGAGGGGAUGAGUCAAGUAACAUAAUAAACGUCUGAGAAGUUCUCACAAUUCAUCCUGAUUUCCUCAUUGCCAAGUUUUGACACAGAAGGUUCUUUUUUGAUAAGACUGAAUGCUCGGGACUGUUGCUCGCCAUUCUUCCUGCAGCCCAUGCUAAGGUUCAGGAUACUCUGGCACUUUGAAGUUAACUCCAUUCCAUCCUUUGCAUCAACUAAAAUCCCAACUCUUUUGUGAGAUUUCCUUCGGGGUCAAGCCGGGCUCUACAUCUGCUGUAUUAUAUUCCAACUGAUUGGAAGAACCUCCGAAGCGCAGAGGAGCUGGCCCAGCCGGAGUCCAGGGGGCGCGACCUAAGGAACUCGCCAUCACCGUGGAGCGAGUGUGCACAGCGGAUCAGGAGACAACCUGGCCAUUUCUCAUUUGCACUGGAACCGCCUCCGAAGUGUGAGGCUGCGUGCGGUGCACACCCCUCAGGUGUAAGCCUCAGCCCGGCCGAGGGAAGGCUGACCCCACCUCGGGGCUCCCUCUUCCAAGGGCCUCUCUGGGAGGUGGCUUGUCCUAGACGCUGGUAAGACAAGGGCAUGAAGCACCCCAGACACCCUCCCCGACGAGUUUUUGCCACCAUAAACCUCACUUGAUGAAUAAUCUUUGUGCUGAAAGAGGAAAGAAUUUUGAUGAAGGUAAAAAUAUCCAUCGACCAGUUGCUAGAAGUAUUCUCCAGUUUAUCUCCAACUAAAUGCCCCAAAGUGACUUCAAGGGCAGGGUUGUUCCUCUUCUUUUGCCUUUUUAUGCAAAAUCAGUUCUUCUGAACAACAUAGAUAAAAUUAGCACCAAACAUAAUCUGAGCUGAGAGAGUUAAUUACACAUCCUAGAAAAGAUGCACCCAUCAAUACUUCUUCUUUUUUUUUUUCUUCCAUCAAUACUUCUUUUUAUAAAUUAUCACUUUUAAAAUUAUCUGUAUGUUUUGUUUCAUGACCUUUGUCUGAAACCAACUUUAAGGAUCAUUUCCUCACUAGGGAUAUUGCAGGGUCAAAGACUCACACUGGCAAUGAACAAGGGCUUGCAACUUGUGCUUUUCGUAAAAAUGAAAUAUUACAAGUGACAGCAAGAAUAAUGAAUCGCAAAACGGUAGCGGCAGAAAUCCUGGAACUCUUUCGUGGGAGGGUUAGAAUUGCCACCACCUUCCCUCCUUAUCACUAGCCACCUUCAACCCAGCAUAUGGUGCAGAGCUGUGCUCUCAAAGGAGGGUCCUCCAUCAUCAGGUGAAGAAUCGUGUGUGCCGAGCAUGUGUCAUAAAGUAGCUCAGAGUCUAUAUAAUUUUCUUCACAAUUAAAAUUUCUUGCUUUCAGUUUAUGAACGGACUCACAAGAGGUUGACUCUACAGAGAACAAGAGGGAGCUAACUA